AACGAACGCUGGCGGCAGGCUUAACACAUGCAAGUCGAACGCAUCAUCCGGGGUGAGUGGCAGACGGGUGAGUAACGCGUGGGAACGUGCCCUUCAGUUCGGGAUAACCCAGGGAAACUUGGGCUAAUACCGGAUACGGCCUAGAGCAGAAAGAUUGAUCGCUGAAGGAUCGGCCCGCGUCUGAUUAGCUAGUUGGUGGGGUAAUGGCCCACCAAGGCGACGAUCAGUAGCUGGUCUGAGAGGAUGAUCAGCCACAUUGGGCCUGAGACACGGACCAAACUCCUACGGGAGGCAGCAGUGGGGAAUAUUGGACAAUGGGCGCAAGCCUGAUCCAGCCAUGCCGCGUGAGUGAUGAAGGCCUUAGGGUUGUAAAGCUCUUUCGUCCGGGACGAUAAUGACGGUACCGGAAGAAGAAGCCCCGGCUAACUUCGUGCCAGCCGCCGCGGUAA
rnacentral:rRNA from 1 species